GACGAACGCUGGCGGCGUGCCUAAUACAUGCAAGUUGAGCGCUGAAGGUUGGUACUUGUACCAACUGGAUGAGCAGCGAACGGGUGAGUAACGCGUGGGGAAUCUGCCUUUGAGCGGGGGACCACAUUUGGAAACGAAUGCUAAUACCGCAUAAAAACUUUAAACACAAGUUUUACGUUUGAAAGAUGCAAUUGCAUCACUCAAAGAUGAUCCCGCGUUGUAUUAGCUAGUUGGUGAGGUAAAGGCUCACCAAGGCGAUGAUACAUAGCCGACCUGAGAGGGUGAUCGGCCACAUUGGGACGGAGACACGGCCCAAACGCCUACGGGAGGCAGCAGUAGGGAAUCUUCGGCAAUGGACGAAAGUCUGACCGAGCAACGCCGCGUGAGUGAAGAAGGUUUUCGGAUCGUAAAACUCUGUUGGUAGAGAAGAACGUUGGUGAGAGUGGAAAGCUCAUCAAGUGACGGUAACUACCCAGAAAGGGACGGCUAACUACGUG
rnacentral:rRNA from 1 species